AUUGAACGCUGGCGGCAGGCCUAACACAUGCAAGUCGAACGCGUGGCGGACGGGUGAGUAAUGUCUGUGAAACUUCCUGCUGGCGGGGGAUAACUACUGUAAACGGUAGCUAAUACCGCAUACCCUCAGAUGUUCCCCGAUGGGAUUAGCUAGUUGGUGGGGUAACGGCUCACCAAGGCGACGAUCCCUAGCUGGUCUGAGAGGAUGACCAGCCACACUGGAACUGAGAAACGGGCCAGACUCCUACGGGAGGCAGCAUUGGGGAAUAUUGCACAAUGGGCGAAAGCCUGAUGCAGCCAUGCCGCGUGUAUGAAGAAGGCCUUCGGGUUGUAAAGUACUUUCAGCGGGGAGGCGUUACCCGAAGAAGAAGCACCGGCUAACUCCGUGCCAGCAGCCGCGGUAAUAC
rnacentral:rRNA from 1 species